AUGUUCGCCCAGCACCGGCGUCACGUGAAGUCUGAAGUCACUCUUAUCCAGUUACAUUUGACAGAUGAGAAAAUUAAAGCUCAGAAAGGGUACUCAGGAGGCUGAGGCAGGAGAAUCGCUUGAACCCGGGAAGCAGAAGUUGCAGUGAGCCGAGAUCUUGCCAUUGCAUUCCAGCCUGGACAACAGGGUGAAACUCUGUGUCAAAAAAAAAAAAAAAAAAAGAAGUUAUGAUUGAGACUCAGGUCUGUCUGACUCCAGCUGUUAACCACUAUGUUCUAAGCUCUACUAUGGUCAAGAGAUAUCCUUUGAGCACAUUUUUCAAGGUAAUAUGAUAAACACCAUGGGGAAGAGAAAUCUUAAUCAGACAUAGUAUAUAUCCUUGACAAAUUCACAGUGUACUGGGAAAGUACUAAUCUCCUAUAAUGCAUGGUGGAAAGUGAUAAGAAAACAAUGAAUUCAGGGAUGGAGAAUUCACCUUUCAGAAGGCUGCCUGGAGGAUGUGGCAGUUGAAGUAGGCUGUGAAAAAGGGGUAAGAUGGGGCUAUACUGCACCAAAAGAAUAAGAAUAGAGAGGAAAGAGGCGAGUGUUCCAGGUGAGAGGCAGGCCAGCAACAAAAAUGAAGAGGUGGCAAACACAAGGCAGUUUUUGGAAAAGUUAAAUGGCCAGUUUGAUGGGACAGAAAGAGUAUGUGUGGAAGUAGAGAAAAUGCUGAAAAAAAUACAAUGCAGAUUUAAAUAGUAUGAGUAAUAAUUAUAGCUCAUAUUUGCCAGGCACCUAAAAUGUGCCAGGCACUGUCCUUGGGGCUUUAAACUUAUUAUCUCACUGAAAAAUUUCUAACUAGACUGUGAGAUUGAUAUUAUCCCCACCCUCAUUUUACAGAUAGAUCUACCUGUAAAAUCAGUUAUCAAUUUAUCUGUAAAAUGGGGGUGGGAAUAACACCACUCUUGCAGUCUAGUUAUUUAGAGAAGUAACUUGUCUAGGGCCUUAUGAAGAUACUGGUGAAACUGAAACUCAAACACAAAUUUAUCUAAUGCUAAAAUUCUUAUUCAUGAAACCAUAUGGUCACCCAGUAAACAUUACUGUUGAUGCCAAAUAAACUCUGCUUUAGAGCCACA